GGGUCAGAAGGUUGGUCGUGCCACCGGUACGUACUGGUCUCACUGAUUCCUCCUUCCUGAAGAACCGUAAUGCCAUGAAUUUGGUGUUGCGGGGAAACAGGACUGUUACUUUGCAAAAAUUAGAGUGUUUAAAGCAAGCUAACGCUUGAAUACAUUAGCAUGGAAUAAUGAAAUAGGACGAUCGAUCCUAUUUUGUUGGUUUCUAGGAUUGACGUA
rnacentral:rRNA from 1 species